rnacentral:lncRNA from 1 species
UGGGGUCUCCGUUUCAGGCUGUGGAAGCUUUGUUGUUUCAGUCUUUGCAAUAAAUCUUGCUGCUGUUCACCCUUUGGGUUUGUGCGGCUUUUAUGAGCUGUAACACUCCCCGAGAAGGUCUGCAGUUCCACUCCUGAAGCCAGCGAGACUGGGAACCCACUGGGAGGGAGGAACAACUCCAGACGGGAGACACGAACAACUCUGGACGCGCCAUCUUUAUGAACCGUAAAAGUCACUGCGAGGGUCUGCGGCUUCAUUCUUGAAGUCAGCGAGACCAAGAACCCACCAAUUCCGGACACGAUCUGACUUAUCCUUGUAUGUGCUAAACUCAGUCUCUACCCACAAGUGGAUUUGUAACUGGUUAAUCUGUCCAUUGGGAAUGUUUACUGUGGGCCUACCAUGUACCAGGGACUACACCAUGCUAGGAAGACCUGCAUAGAGUUUACAGCUGAUAAAUCUUUUGUGAAAGGAAGA